rnacentral:miRNA from 1 species
UUGAUAUUAGAUUGACGCAAAAACAAUUGUGGUUUUUGCCAUUACUUUCAAUGACAAAAACUGCAAUCACUUUUGCACCAAC